CUUUAUUUAUUAAACGAUAACAUCGAGUUAUAUGCUUCUUCAAAGAAAAUGAAUGAAUGUUCUAUACAUUUUGAUGGUGUUUCUCAAGAUUUAAUUUUAAUUACAAAAAAAAGAUAUUUAUCAAUUAAGCGUGCCAAAAAGUUAUAGUUAUUGUAUCCUGGAUAUAAACAACAAUCAGUUACGAUAGUUUUUCAUAACAUGGACAUGCGUAUUUAAAAAUGUACGUAACAAUAAAGUUAUACAGAAGAAAUGCUCAUUUUUUGUUUACAAUUUGCAUUUAAUCAUUUGUAAAUGAAUAUGUAUUUUUUGAAAUUCAGUUUACAAUUUUAUGUUUCGUUUGCUUUUGGCAUUUUUGUAUGUUGCACUUGCUUUUGGCAGCAAUAUCACGUUUUCUUGUAAUUACAAGAUUUGUGAAUGAAGCCUUUAUAUGUUUUAAAAUAAUCAUAUCUUAAGGAUUGUUACAAACUUGUUUUUCAUAAAUGAAACUGAGUUUUCAUAUUAAAAAAGAAAACAACAUUUUAUGUUACUUAAAAGCUAUAUUCCAAAAAUAUGAAACUAUCUUUAAAUUCUGCAAAAUUUUUGAAAUGUUUUUUGACAGUUUUGUUUGUUAUAAAAUUGCUUACAAUUUAAACGAUAACUUUGCUUGAGAUUUGUGGACCAUGACAUA